rnacentral:misc_RNA from 1 species
GAAAUGCGAUAAGUCAUGUGAAUUGCAGAAUUCAGUGAAUCAUCGAAACUUUGAACGCACAUUGCGCCUUCAUGUAUUCCGGGAGGCAUGCCUGUACGAACGUCGUCGAGCGCCUCGCCUGGAGCUGUUGCUUGCAACAGAGCCCCGGCGGCUCCUGGAGGAUGCGCGCUGAAGGGCCCGCACCCCCGAAAUCCAAUGGCGGUCCCAUCCUUGGCUGUGAUUGUGAUAAGUAUUUCUUACAGUCGCUUAGCCCCGGAGGCGUCCUGCUGCCUAUGUUCUUGCUAGCGCUCAGCCAAUCCACAGGCUGCAUGCGAUGGUAGACACAAUCUUACUUUUGACUUCGGAUCAGGUAGGGAUACCCGCUCAACUUAA